rnacentral:rRNA from 1 species
UACAGAGGGGGCCAGCGUUAUUCGGAAUUAUUGGGCGUAAAGGGCGCGUAGGCGGCCAUGCGUGUCUUCCGUGAAAUCCCUCGGCUUAACUGAGGACGUGCGGAAGAAACUGCAAGGGCUCGAGUCCGGGAGAGGGGGGUGGAAUUCCCAGUGUAGCGGUGAAAUGCGUAGAUAUUGGGAGGAACACCGGUGGCGAAGGCGGCCCCCUGGACCGGUACUGACGCUGAGGCGCG